UCUCUGCAAAUACAAUGUUUUUCCCUGUGAUCUCUUAAUCUUCUAUUUAGUUCAACGUAUUCCUCUUAGUUUCGCCAAUCAAUAUUUUUCUCAUUAAAUUCAAUAACGACCUUUCUGUUUCUUUCACGUUAAACCUAUAAAUUGGAGAGGGGAGUCGGAUGAACCUUCACCAUCACUCUCAGUUAAACUUCUUAAUCAAGCGCAGAAAUAUUACUCGAUAAUGUCUUCUGAUGUUGUUGUUGCCCAAUCAGUCGUCGGUCCUUUCCGCCUCCGUAGAUCGUUGCUGCUCGGGUUCUCUAUUUUUGGGACCCGGAAAACAUCAAGAAAAAUGGUGAAUUCAUGGGGAUCACUCUACUUCUCAUCAGAAAAUAGCUGCCCUUACGUUGCUUGCACCGGUUGCAGCAGGCGAUUGGACAAAUGCGAGACCUCUCUCUGGUACAUCAGGAAGGAAAGUUUCACCAAAAGUCACUGAGGUCAUCAGGUUUUCUGUCGAGUUGGCUAUUGACGAUAGCCGAUGACAGUGCUACGUUUGUGGUGUUCUAGACAGAGAUGGCCAAACAAACCAACAAAGAAGCAACCAGACUGGCUCUUGGUGAGGUUACCUUCUGCCCAGAACUCCAUUCAUCUUGCGUUUUUAAAAGGUCAAGGUUGCUCUCAUUAUAACACGAAAGCUUAAACGUAUGGCAGACUAAUGGUGGUGACGGGUUCAGAGCUACCAAGAUGCCUAGAAGAACUAGCUGUGGAAGCAAUGUAUGUUCCAAAUUCAUGUCACACCUCACACCUCACAACCACACACCCAACCAUGUCUCUGCAAGCACUGAAGAUGUGGUACUCAACACUCAUUCAGAGUUUGAUUAGACUAAGCCCCUAGUAUAAUAUAAAGAGUGAUUGAGAACCAGCUGGUGAAGCGGGAAUGGAUAGAAGACGAUUUCGGAGCUGGCAAUCGAUUGAUCUUUGAGUGGUGAAUGGUGGAGAUAGAUUGCCUUCGAAGAGCCUGGUGUUGCGUUCUUUCCAAAUAAGACAUAUGGUGGGCUGAAGCAACAGCUUAACAAGUAUCUUGACUUAGGGUGAGCAUCAAAGAGAGGAAGACAUAGAUAAAAGAGGAAGUGGAGCGAAGAAGAGUCCUCCGGCGCCGAACAAUGUCGAAGACAAAAGAUUAAAUAUCUUGAAUUCUACAGGUGAAAGAUAGUAUUUUCGAGAAAAAGACACUUUACUUAUAGAUUAUCAAAUUUCAUAGUUUUAUGCCUUAGGGUUUUAUGUGAA